CUUGGGAUACGGGAUGGCUUGAGGAUCGGAGAGGCAAGGGGAAUUUCCACGUGUAGCGGUGAAAUGCGUAGAGAUGUGGAGGAACACCUGUGGCGAAGGCGCCUUGCUGGCCGAUUUCUGACGCUGAGGCGCGAAAGCGUGGGGAGCAAACAGGAUUAGAUACCCUGGUAGUCCACGCCGUAAACGAUGAGUGCUAGGUGUUGGGAGGUACCACCCUCAGUGCCGAAGCUAACGCAUUAAGCACUCCGCCUGGGGAGUACGGUCGCAAGACUGAAACUCAAAGGAAUUGACGGGGGCCCGCACAAGCAGUGGAGCAUGUGGUUUAAUUCGAAGCAACGCGAAGAACCUUACCAAGACUUGACAUCCCGCUGACCACUCUAGAGAUAGAGUUUCCCUUCGGGGCAGCGGUGACAGGUGGUGCAUGGUUGUCGUCAGCUCGUGUCGUGAGAUGUUGGGUUAAGUCCCGCAACGAGCGCAACCCUUACAUUGUGUUGCCAUCAUUUAGUUGGGCACUCACAAUGGACUGCCGGUGACAAACCGGAGGAAGGCGGGGAUGACGUCAAAUCAUCAUGCCCCUUAUGUCUUGGGCUACACACGUGCUACAAUGGGCGUUACAAAGGGAUGCGAAACCGCGAGGUGGAGCCAAUCUCAGAAAGCCGUUCGUAGUUCGGAUUGCAGGCUGCAACUCGCCUGCAUGAAGCCGGAAUUGCUAGUAAUCGCGGAUCAGCAUGCCGCGGUGAAUUCGUUCCCGG
rnacentral:rRNA from 1 species